UCCACGAAAGCAAAGAAGCAAAAACACGUUUAUUAUAAUGUAAUACGAAGGUAGGAUCCACGACACAUGAUCAAGAAUGCAGCUUCCCGAAGGUGUAAUUCUUGACACAAUGAUUAUAAAACCAUAACAUGGUCACAGCAGACUUCAUUGCAUGAAAAGAUUGAAGGUGAGGUUGGUGUUACUGGAGAUGAGGUGUUACACUGAACAUUCUCACAGAAAGGAAUAAGAAAGUGACAUUUAGCAUUUUGCAAUAAAACACAGAAGAAAAAAUAACACUAUCCAAAUAAUAAAGUAGCUUUUAAUUCAUCACCAACAGUACACUGACACUUACAAUAAGGAUGUUACUUUUAAUUUAUUUAAUUAUACACUGAAGGAAUGGUAUAUGUUAUAUACACUGGAGUUAUGCAAGUUGCAGUGUAAGACCUGUAAACAAAGGAAAUGUCUUAUAUACAUUCAAUAAAUUGGAUUUAAUUGCA